rnacentral:tRNA from 1 species
AUUAUUUUGGCAGAUUAGUGCAAUGAAUUUAGAAUUCAUGUAUGUAAUUAUUUUAC